UAUAAAUACUCAACCGUAAAAGAUAAUUUGUCAUUCCAAGUUUACUUACUCUGUCGUAUCACAGCAACCUUCAAAAUGCAGAAAAUAAUCAUUGCAGUUUUACUCAUGGUGCAAAUAGCAAUCGUCUUUUCCCAAAACUGCGAUACAGUUACUUGUACUAGUCCUUUAGUAUGCAGAGAUACCAUAAACCCUUGUAUAAAUGGUUGCGCCUAUCGCCAAGGAUUAGUAUUUUGUACGCAGCAAGUUAUAGUGGAUUGUUACUGCCCAGUUGGAUAUUGCAAUAAUAAUGGAACAUGUGUCAAAUACUAAGGUGACUUUUUAAUCUAUUUGACCAUUUUGAUAAUAUGACUUAUUUGCAAAAUAAAAAUGAUGAUUGAUGCAAAA